rnacentral:rRNA from 1 species
GGGUUGUGAGGUUAAGCGACUAAGCGUACACGGUGGAUGCCCUGGCAGUCAGAGGCGAUGAAGGGCGUGCUAAUCUGCGAUAAGCGCCGGUAAGGUGAUAUGAACCGUUAUAACCGGCGAUACCCGAAUGGGGAAACCCAGUGUGACUCGUCACACUAUCAUUAACUGAAUCCAUAGGUUAAUGAGGCGAACCGGGGGAACUGAAACAUCUAAGUACCCCGAGGAAAAGAAAUCAACCGAGAUUCCCCCAGUAGCGGCGAGCGAACGGGGAGGAGCCCAGAGCCUGAAUCAGCAUGUGUGUUAGUGGAAGCGUCUGGAAAGGCGCGCGAUACAGGGUGACAGCCCCGUACACAAAAGCGCAUGUGUUGUGAGCUCGAUGAGUAGGGCGGGACACGUGGUAUCCUGUCUGAAUAUGGGGGGACCAUCCUCCAAGGCUAAAUACUCCUGACUGACCGAUAGUGAACCAGUACCGUGAGGGAAAGGCGAAAAGAACCCCGGCGAGGGGAGUGAAAAAGAACCUGAAACCGUGUACGUACAAGCAGUGGGAGCCCCACCACUAAGCCAGUGGUGAACUCCACAUACGCAUCCUUUGCUGAGGAUACGGUUAACGGAGCGAAAGCGACGUUCAACCGCAAAAGAAGCAGAGGGGGCUUAGUGGUGGGGUGACUGCGUACCUUUUGUAUAAUGGGUCAGCGACUUAUAUUCUGUAGCAAGGUUAACCG